UACGGGGGGAGCAAACGUUGUUCGGAAUCACUGGGCGUAAAGGGCGUGUAGGCGGCUGGAUAAGUGGGAUGUUAAAUCCCCCGGCUCAACCGGGGACCUGCAUCUCAUACUGUUCAGCUCGAGCACAUCAGAGGAGACUGGAAUUCCCGGUGUAGCGGUGAAAUGCGUAGAUAUCGGGAAGAACACCCGUGGCGAAGGCGGUUCUCUGGGACGGUACUGACGCUGAGACGCGAAAGCGUGGGGAGCGAACAGG
rnacentral:rRNA from 1 species